rnacentral:rRNA from 1 species
UCUUACCGGGACCGACAGCGAUAUGAAGGCCAGGCUGAAGACUUUGCCGGAUUAGCUGAGAGGUGGUGCAUGGCCGUCGUCAGUUCGUACUGUGAAGCAUCCUGUUAAGUCAGGCAACGAGCGAGACCCACGCCCACAGUUGCCAGUGUACUCUCCGGAGUGACGGGUACACUGUGGGGACCGCCGCUGCUAAAGCGGAGGAAGGAAUGGGCAACGGUAGGUCAGUAUGCCCCGAAUAUCCCGGGCUACACGCGAGCUACAAUGGUUGGUACAAUGGGUAUCUACCCCGAAAGGGGAUGGAAAUCUCCUAAAGCCAAUCUUAGUCCGGAUUGAGGGCUGCAACUCGCCCUCAUGAAGCUGGAAUCCGUAGUAAUCGCGUUUCAACAGAACGCGGUGAAUACGUCCCUGCUCCUU